rnacentral:rRNA from 1 species
GAACGCUGGCGGUAUGCUUAACACAUGCAAGUCGAACGAAUGAGAUUUUAAGCUUGCUUAAAAUCGAGUUAGUGGCAAACGGGUGAGUAACACGUGGGAAUCUACCCAGUAGUACAGAAUAACAGUUAGAAAUGACUGCUAAUACUGUAUAGUAUCGAGAGAUUAAAGAUUUAUCGCUACUGGAUGAGCCCGCGUCAGAUUAGGUAGUUGGUGGGGUAAUGGCCUACCAAGCCAAAGAUCUGUAGCUGGUCUGAGAGGAUGAUCAGCCACACUGGAACUGAGACAUGGUC